rnacentral:rRNA from 1 species
AUACGGAGGGUGCAAGCGUUGUCCGGAAUUAUUGGGUGUAAAGGGUGUGCAGGCGGGGCGGUAAGUCAGGGGUGAAAGUCUACGGCUCAACCGUAGGAUGGCCUUUGAUACUGUCGUCCUUGAGUCCCGGAGAGGCCAUUAGAAUUCGUGGUGUAGCGGUGAAAUGCGUAGAUAUCACGAGGAAUACCGGAAGCGUAGGCGGAUGGCUGGACGGCGACUGACGCUCAGGCACGAAAGCGUGGGGAGCGAACAGGAUUAGAUACCCUGGUAGUCCACGCUGUAAACGAUGGAUGCUCGGUGUUCGACUACGUUAGCGGGUUGAGUGCCCAAGUUAACGCGAUAAGCAUCCCACCUGGGGAGUACGCUCGCAAGAGUGAA